AAUAGGCCAAGCAAACCAACCACUAGUCUCUUUAAUGAACAAGAUUCCUUCUACCAGGAUCAAAUUGCCAUCAACUGGGGCUAGGUCUAUGUGUCUCAAUAGUUUUGUCACACCUGCUUUAAAAUUAGGUGUUGUGAGAUUGGAACAAGUUGGAAGGAUUGAAAAUGGUAUCACUGAUUGGAACCAUAAACUGUGCUUUCAUUUUAAGGUUUGCCAGCUUUCCCCUGCCCACAAAAAUGGUUUUUCCAUGGACAGAAAUGCUACCGCUUUUCUAAGAAAACCCAGUCUUGGUUGAAGAGUCAAGCUGCCUGUUCUGCCAAUGGCUCCAGACUCCUUCAGACAGAGAGCAAAGAUGAGCUGGAUUUGAUAGAUCCACUGGCAAGUUCUCACUGGAUAGGAUUGCUAUGUGACAAGGUCAAUGGAACCUGGGUUUGGGAGAAUGGCUCAACUUUCACCAAUGACCAGAUCCCAUUUAAAAAUGGAAGCUAUGGCGGGGACUGUGCAGUCGUGAUACAUGGAGGAUUUUCCUCAGAUGACUAUUCUUUUACAAGACGCUACAUCUGUGAGAAGUCAGUUCUUUCAGUAAAGCCUGACAUGUCAGCAUGGGAUGGAACAUGGAUACCAUGAGAAUUGUGUCCCAGCGAACCACAAAGCAGUGAAAAACAUCCUUUAAUACAGACCGCUGCUCUCAUUUUUUCCUCUUCAGGGGUUGGAUUUAUACUGUAGCAAUUUAGCACAUCUUGUUGUAAUAGCAUAGGGCUCAAUCCUAUUUUCUUUAUCAUUGUUGGUGAUCACUCACAGUCAAGGAUGAUCACUCCCGUGGGUCAAGUAAUGGGUUGUAGAUGGGUUUGUUGAUGGAAAAAGCCAAUCCUAGAGAAGGUGACUAUCUGGCAGAUGCCACAUGUGGUGAUUAAAGGGAGGG